UACGUAGGGACCGAGCGUUGUCCGGAUUCAUUGGGCGUAAAGAGCUCGUAGGCGGCUGUUCAAGUCGAACGUGAAAACUCGGAGCUCAACUCCGAGCCUGCGUUCGAUACUGGAUGGCUAGAGUCUGGUAGGGGGGAUCUGGAAUUCCUGGUGUAGCGGUGGAAUGCGCAGAUAUCAGGAGGAACACCGGUGGCGAAGGCGGGAUCCUGG
rnacentral:rRNA from 1 species